CAUCUAGGACAUCUAGGAGCACAGAUAAGAAAUUUUUACAACUUUUUGGGUGGCUGUACCUUUUGGCAAAAAUUUAUUUUUGCUUUGCUCAUUUAAACUUGCAGAAUUCUUAAUUUGGUGAGUGACAGUUAGAAAAGUUAGUGGCUGGUACAACUGAAUUUAGCCAUAAAACUAGAGAGGAAGAGAACUAGAGAAUGAAUCAGAGAGAACAGUUAAUAUAAAUGUGCGAGGUACGCUCACUGUGAUUAGCUGUAGUCAUAUGCAGUCCUGUAAUUAUUUGAAAAUUGUCCAGAAAUGUGUUCUCAUGAGACCAAAAUGAAUGCAAAAAAUGAUGUUGUGAUCUUUUAUUGAAUCAAUGAAAUUUAGAUUAGGCAGUCACUAAAUUCCUGUUUACACAACAGACCUUAAUGGCUCCAAAGGAAACGCUCAAAUGUAGUCAAAAAAUAAUCCCUAUUUAUGAAAGCCCCAUAAUAUGCAUUUACAUAAUCCCCACUUUAAAAAGCUGUAUCAGCUCUAGAGUUCUUCAGCUCAGAGAUACGCCCCAGGGGAUUAAAAGUAAUAAACAAAACAAAGGGAAAAAGAUAUACACACAUCCACCAACAUGCACCACAGCCUUUAGAAUUAUGACACGCAGGAGGAGGCAGGGAUAACCCACCAGCUCUCCUCACCCCACUCCACCUCCAGCAGGAUUUGUGCAUGUGCACAGACAUGAAUACCUGCACAUGCCCAUCUCUACAAGUGGCUCUGCAUGACUUCGAGCAUGUGCAUGGUACCGCAGUGUCUCUCUGCAUUAUGUCUCUCCUGGCUUUCCUGGUCUUCCUUCACAAAUACAAUCUUGGUCCAUCCUGUAUGGCCAGUGGUCGCGAACAGCCGCUCACACACGCAGUCUAUGCACGAACCGGAGAUGAAGAGGUGAGAGGGGUUCUCUGCAUGCAAUUCCGAGGCAUUUAAUGGCAACACCCCGAAGGGAAGAGGCAAGAAGAACCAAAGCCCACGUCAGUUUUAU
rnacentral:lncRNA from 1 species